rnacentral:lncRNA from 1 species
UGAACUGCCGGGGGCGGUUUACAGAGCCGGGCCGGCAGGGGCUCAGGCAGGCAGCGACUGUUUGAACUUUCGCUGCUGGGCUAGCAGCGGCCUUUCGGCGGCGGCCGGCGGGACUGGGCCCCUGCGCCUUGUGGCCAAGACAAACUGACACUUCCAAUAAACUUACUAAUUCCCGGCAGGUCUCCUUUCAGCGGAAUUUUGCUUGAAGUUUCUCAGCAGGUAGCAUGUAGGUGUAUUAAUGGGUCUCUCUGAUCCCGUUACUGUGGAGGUAUUGAAAGUGCUGCCUCCUCGCCGGCCGCCAUGUUGGGUCCCCUCUUGCGUAGAGAAACUGGAACUCUGUGCACUGCUGGUGAGGAAGCAAAAUGAUGAAGCAGCUGUAGAGAACAGUACCCAGGUCCACGCUCUCACCCACAGCUCAAUCUCCCACUUCAUGGACACCAGUACGUGAUGGGCGCUGCCAUUUAAAAAUACAUUUCCUUAAAAGAAAAAAAAUGUGACCGGUAAGUAAAAGAAAGUUUAGGAUGUUUGAAGUGUGAAGAGAAUGCAGAAGAGAUGCAGCAAGUGAUGGGUAAAAAGGAGGAGAAAAAAAUAAAGUGAGAGAAAAUGAACAAGAGAAUUUGGCUGUUAAAUGGGAGAAGGAGAGAGAAAAAUGAGAAUCAAACAAAACAAAAUGAACAAAAAACUAUCAAAAGACAACACAACUAAAAAUAACUAUUUAUCAAUAGUUAACAAAUUUUUAACAAAAUGAGAAAGAAAUAUGUCCACAAACUGAUCAGCACAGCAAGAAAACACACACACACACACACACGCACAGACACACACAUAAUGAAAAAUGAAAGAAUUGUUUUUACUGAAGUAGUCAAAACUGUCAACAUGGACAAAUGGUCACUGCCUCUGCCUGACUGUUCUUUCCAUUUCUUCUGGGAUAUGUUGAAAGAGGGAGAGAGGAAGAGAGCACACACCCCAAGGGCUUGUUAAACCCUUCCUCUUUUUGUGUUGCUCACUGAGUUGCCAAUAGGAGUGGCCUAAGUGUGAGGUUAGUUGAAGUAGCUUUCAGCUUCUGUUCUCACCAGUAUAAGGUAGGAUGGAAUGGGAAGUACUGUUGAUUGGAGUUUUGUCUGCAUAGACCAGAUCAGUGCACUCCAGGAUGAGACUUCUGCAGAGUUCUGGGAGGGACGUUUUGGGUUCUGGGGAUGAGGUUUAGAUCUAAUCAGACCCUAGGGACUUUGUUGGUUGGUAACUGUUGUGGGGAGAUUUGAUCAAUAUACCCCAAGGGCCUAGCAGAUACCAGUUCCUGCUGGGAGUAUGGAUCUCAGGUGCUUUCCAAGAAUUAGGACAGGGGAACCAAUCCUCCACAGGUCUGGCACACUCUGCCACCCCAAAAUACUACCUUCCCAGGCUUAGUCCCUGAGCGUAUCAAUACCCACCUCUUCAGUUUCCUUGACCAUCUUCAGCUGGUCAUGUGAUCUGCCAGACUCAAAGGGAAGGCUAGUUGCAUUCAUCUCUGUAUUUCUGACUUAAACCCCAUGGAUACAUUAUUCUCUUUGCCCAUGCCACUUACUUUCUGCUAGAUACUGCCUACGCCACAAGGUUACUAUAGCUCUGUAGUAUAAUUUGAAGUCAGGUAUUGUGAUGCCUCUGUCCUGUGAACUCACAGAACAUAUUUUCAUAUAUUUAUGAUCUAGCAUAGAUUAUUACAUUGCAAUCAUCUUAGCUCUAUGGAAGUAAAAAGGGAAGAAAGGAAGUAAAAGAAUCCUUUAAUGAUGUAAUGUCAGGUCUGGAACGGUAAAAUAAAUAAAUAAAUUGAAUUGAAUUUUGGAAUAUGUGUGUGCUUUGUCAAUUUUCACCAGGUACUAUCAUAUUCUCAAUGAUUAGGUGAAUUUAUUCAAAUGAUCGG